AAAAAGCCAGAAUGUGAGCCUUGAGUGAAAAAGCUAAGGGACAGCGCCCAGACCUUAGUGGCCAGGGCCCAAGUUCAAUACGAGUCCACUCAGUAGGUCACUGUCUCAUGUGGUAACAUUUCUGAAGUGGUUUCGGGUUUGUGUGUGAGUGUGUGUGCACGUGCUCAAGUGCUUUACCAUUUGAGCAAUGCCACCAGCCCUGUAGGGUUUUAUUUGACUUAAAGAGUAACUGCACUUUCUCUGAUGCCCAAUUACUUACUCAGUGACUGUCAUGAUAGAUUUUUGGCAAUGGUCACAUCACUCUGUAUAAUAACUACUAGUUUACCUGCCCCCCCCCCCCCACCCCGCCCCACUACAGAGCUCCUCAAAGUUAGGGACAGCAUCCCUGGUCCCAGAGGAAACAAAAAGAAAGGCUCUGGAAACGUGUCUGCAUUAGGGCGCCAUGACGGGUGCCAAAUGAAUACUUAAGAAAUCCUUGCUGGCCUAUACGUUUUCUUGAAAAGAGUUUUAAAAUGCAAUUCCCCAGAAAA